rnacentral:rRNA from 1 species
UGCAAGUCGAACGGUAACAUUUCUAGCUUGCUAGAAGAUGACGAGUGGCGGACGGGUGAGUAAUGCUUGGGAACUUGCCUUUGCGAGGGGGAUAACAGUUGGAAACGACUGCUAAUACCGCAUAAUGUCUUCGGACCAAACGGGGCUUCGGCUCCGGCGCAAAGAGAGGCCCAAGUGAGAUUAGCUAGUUGGUAAGGUAACGGCUUACCAAGGCGACGAUCUCUAGCUGUUCUGAGAGGAAGAUCAGCCACACUGGGACUGAGACACGGCCCAGACUCCUACGGGAGGCAGCAGUGGGGAAUAUUGCACAAUGGGGGAAACCCUGAUGCAGCCAUGCCGCGUGUGUGAAGAAGGCCUUCGGGUUGUAAAGCACUUUCAGUUGUGAGGAAAAGUUAGUAGUUAAUACCUGCUAGCCGUGACGUUAACAACAGAAGAAGCACCGGCUAACUCCGUGCCAGCAGCCGCGGUAAUACGGAGGGUGCGAGCGUUAAUCGGAAUUACUGGGCGUAAAGCGCACGCAGGCGGUUUGUUAAGCUAGAUGUGAAAGCCCCGGGCUCAACCUGGGAUGGUCAUUUAGAACUGGCAGACUAGAGUCUUGGAGAGGGGAGUGGAAUUCCAGGUGUAGCGGUGAAAUGCGUAGAUAUCUGGAGGAACAUCAGUGGCGAAGGCGACUCCCUGGCCAAAGACUGACGCUCAUGUGCGAAAGUGUGGGUAGCGAACAGGAU